UUAUUAAAAGCCAGAGUCCAAUGGAUAUUCAUGUUCUAUUUGUAAAUCCACAGAGCAUGUUAUUUGUGGUACAUGGAAAACAAAUGGUGAAGACGAUUAUGGAACAUCUGGGUUUUUUUUUUGUUUUUUUGUUUUGUUUUUGUUCAAAUGAACAAGAAAUUUAAACAGAGAGAACUUACGCAUCUAAAUGUAUAGAAAAACUAAGGAUUAACAAUUUGAACAAAAGUUUAGAGGAAACUGGCAUUUGGUGCAAUAUGCUCUUAGCAUGAUUCCACAGGGUAAAAAAGGAAAGGGG
rnacentral:lncRNA from 1 species